rnacentral:rRNA from 1 species
ACGGGGGGAGCAAACGUUGUUCGGAAUUACUGGGCGUAAAGCGCACGUAGGCGGCUUUGCAAGUUAGAGGUGAAAGCCCGGGGCUCAACCCCGGAAUUGCCUUUAAAACUGCAUCGCUAGAGUUGUGGAGAGGUAAGUGGAAUUCCGAGUGUAGAGGUGAAAUUCGUAGAUAUUCGGAAGAACACCAGUGGCGAAGGCGACUUACUGGACACAUAUUGACGCUGAGGUGCGAAAGCGUGGGGAGCAAACAGGA